rnacentral:rRNA from 1 species
UACGUAGGGGGCGAGCGUUGUCCGGAAUCAUUGGGCGUAAAGAGCGUGUAGGUGGCUUGGAAAGUCUUACGUGAAAGCCUGCGGCUCAACCGCAGAAGUGCGUGGGAAACUUCCUCGCUAGAGUCCGGAAGAGGAGAGCGGAAUUCCUGGUGUAGCGGUGGAAUGCGCAGAUAUCAGGAAGAACACCCGUGGCUAAGGCGGCUCUCUAGUACGGUACUGACGCUGAGACGCGAAAGCGUGGGGAGCGAACAGG